UACGAAGGGGGGCUAGCGUUGUUCGGAUUUACGUGGGCGUAAAGCGCACGUAGGCGGAUCGUUGAAGUCAGGGGUGAAAUCCUGGAGCUCAACUCCAGAACUGCCUUUGAUACUGGCGAUCUUGAGUCCGGAAGAGGUGAGUGGAACUCCUAGUGUAGAGGUGGAAUUCGUAGAUAUUAGGAAGAACACCAGUGGCGAAGGCGGCUCACUGGUCCGGUACUGACGCUGAGGUGCGAAAGCGUGGGGAGCAAACAGG
rnacentral:rRNA from 1 species